UUUGCAACAUGGAUGAACCUCGAUGUCAUUAUGCUAAGUGAAACAAGCCAGACACAGCAAGAAAAAUACUGCAUGAUCUCUUAUGUGGAUUCUAAAAAAGUCAAAUACAUAGAAGCAGAGUAGAACAGUGGUUACCAGGGGUGGAGACGUAUGGAAAUGGUUAAGAUGUUGGUCAAAGGAUACAAAGUUGCAGUUCUAUAGGAUGAAUAAGUCUAGAGAUGUAAUGCAUAGCAUAACUAUAGUUAAUACUGCAUUGUGCAUUGGAAACUUGCGGAGAGUACAUUUCAUGCGCUCUCACCACUUACACAAAAUAGUAACUGUGAAGAGAUGUAUUAUGUUAAUUAGCUUGACUGUAGAAAUCAUUUCACUGUGUACAUGUAUCAAAACAUCAUGUUGUACACCUUAAAUAUAUAGUUUUUAUUUUUAAAACACUGUUUGGGAUUAAAAGCCCAGCUAAUUCUGCCUUAAUAUCUCAUUCUUAUCCACAAUGUCCACCCAUAAGAAAGACGCCCGAUACUCCGUGUAAACACACACUCCCCAUCUCCCAUACAAAUUUACCUUCUAGAGAGAGCCCUUUUCCCCAAACUCUCCUCUCAAAACACUCUGAAGCACAAGGUCUUUAGCCUAGUUAGACAUUUUCUGAAAAACUUAGUUUAACUCAGCGUAGAGACACCAUGAAUUUCAGAGACCCAGUCCUGGGCCUGCUUCAGUUGCUUUAGCCUAGAGUUUCAACUCCCAGGUCCCGGGGAGGGAUGCUCCAAGGAAGAAAUAGAGGCCCUAUUCCAGGGCUGUUUCUCGCAGACUAGCCACAGAAAAUGCAGCCCAGCGCCACUUCCUUUCAGUAGCAACACGUUUCCAACACGUUUGUUAAGCGGGAACGGAAGUGAGCGGAAAGGAAUGCGUUUGGUAAAUCCCACUUUAAGGAUUUCGUAAUCCUCCCAGGGAUUCCCACCACCCGCACUCCACUCGCAGACUGCGGGCCUUCCUCCGACGCUGGGAGAAGGACCCUGGGAGAGGCAAGGGAAGGGCUCCGGAACCAGCGCAGCAGCGGGACGCUAGCCCGCCCACACGGCGGCCACUUGAAGGUCCUCCAGGGAACACCUGAGGCAGUGGGAGCGUCUGCCCUUUCCUAAGUCUCCUUGGAAAGAAGUAUUCGCUUUCGUUUCCGCAAACAAAGCAUGCUCCGCGCUUUCAGGACCGGUGGCUCCCGUGGAGACCGCAGCGGAACCCAGUCCGCCUUCGCACGCGUCCGGGGGAGAAGCGGCCCCAGGACUAAGGGCGCGCGCCCGAGGAACCGGUGCUGUGACGACCAGAGCAAACACGCCGGAUGUUCCUGUGUAGGCUGUGUAAGGAGUGACCGGAAGUAGAAACUGGGUGCUCCAGUGGCGCAAUCGGUUAGCGCGCGGUACUUAUAUGGCAGUAUGUGUGCGAGUGAUGCCGAGGUUGUGAGUUCGAGCCUCACCUGGAGCAUUGUUUUCCAACCCAAAAUAGCAUUACUUGAAGUGCCUUUCCCCCUGUAAUCCGACUCCAUCGUCUUUAACGUGUUUGGAAUUGUGUACACAGUUUAUUGUUAUUGGUUUCCUUAGCCUUUUUAGAACCAAGCAACGCCAAUUACCAACAAAAUCCGUUGCGCCGCAGUGAGUUAGCUACCUUCUAUCUCCACUUUGUUCUGCACGUCGAUCUCAGGAGAAGCCAGCUCCCAUGUUAAGAAGUUCAAAUACCUAGAGACUGCGAUGGUUUGCAGAGGCUCAAGCUAACCACAUGGAAAGACAUGGAGAGAUAUUCCUUGCCAACCCUCAACUACUCCAACUAUUCUAAGACAUCAAACCUAAAAACAAACCGCAGGUCACCCACCGGUCUGAAGAGGAGGAUGAGAGACAAAGAAAAAAGUUGUCUGGCUGCCUCUGCUGUCUACAGAUUGAAGAAGAUCCAUCCAGCUGAGCCCAGCCUAGACCAGCUGACUUCUCCAAUAAGCCUGUAUGAAAUAAAUGCUUAUUGUUAUGUGACCUUGAGCUUUGAAGAUAGUUUGUUAUGCAAUAAUUGUUGAUUCUUUCACCCUGUCUUUGUUGAACUGUUAUAGACGUCUUAAUAGGAGUUCACAAUUCAG
rnacentral:tRNA from 1 species